rnacentral:rRNA from 1 species
GAUGAACGCUGGCGGCAUGCCUAACACAUGCAAGUCGAUCGGUAAGGCUCUUCGGAGUACACGAGAGGCGGACGGCUGAGUAACGCGUAGGAACACACCCUGCAGUGAGGGAUAAGACACCGAAAGGUGUUCUAAUACCGCAUACGGUCUUCGGAUUAAAGCAUUUAUGCGCUGAAGGAGUGGCCUGCGUCAUAUUAGAUAGUUGGUGAGGUAAUGGCUCACAAGUCGAUGAUGUGUAGCUGGUCUGAGAGGAUGAUCAGCCAGACUGGAACUGAGACACGGUCCAGACUCCUACGGGAGGCAGCAGUGAGGAAUAUUUCACAAUGAGCGAAAGCUUGAUGGAGCAAUGCCGCGUGCAGGAUGAAGGCCCUCGGGUUGUAAACUGCUUUUAUAAGAGAAGAUUAUGACGGUAACUUAUGAAUAAGGGACGGCUAACUACGUG